rnacentral:rRNA from 1 species
UACGUAGGGUGCAAGCGUUAAUCGGAAUUACUGGGCGUAAAGCGCGUGUAGGCGGCCAUCUAAGUCGGGCGUGAAAUCCCACGGCUCAACCGUGGAAGUGCACUCGAAACUGGAUGGCUAGAGUCCUGGAGAGGAAGGUGGAAUGCUUGGUGUAGAGGUGAAAUUCGUAGAUAUCAAGCGGAACACCGGUGGCGAAGGCGGCCUUCUGGACAGUGACUGACGCUGAGACGCGAAAGCGUGGGGAGCAAACAGG